UUUUUUUUUUUUUUUUUUGGCCACAUCUACAGCAUGUGGAAGUUCCCAGGCCAGGGAUUGAACCCAUGCCACAGCAGUGACCAGCAGUGACAGGAGCCACAGCACUGACAAUGCCAGCCUCUUAACCUGCUGAGUUACAAGGGAACUCCUGAUUCACUCUUUAUGGAAGAGUCAUCUUGUCUAAUUCUCCAGGAGACUACCACACAGAGUUCGCUUCUUUCAAACAGGCUGUUGAAAGAAGCUAUUAUGUUAAAACUAAGAAAUUAAUAUCACACCUCUGGGGCCAUGUUCCACCCAGUUCUGGCCCAUCUGCUAAAGGGCUUCUCCAUAAGGACUGGGCAGUGUUCACGUGUCGGCCUCAUGAAUAGUCAGAUUUUUUAUCUCCCAGAACAUGAUGUAUCCUGAUCAAUGAUCCAUGUGCACCAAAAAAGAAUAUGUAUUCUGCUGUUUGGGGGUUAGAGUUUUCUAUAAAUGCCAAUUAGGCCAAGCUGGUUGAUAGUUCUGUUCAAGUCAUCUCUGUUUUUACUGAAUUUAUGACUACUUGUUCUUUCAGUGAGUGGAGAGAAGUAUUGAAGUUACAACGAUAAUUGUGGAUUUGUCAACUUCUCUCUUCAGAGCUGCUGGUUUUUGCUCUGUGUAUUUUGAGGUUGGUGUAUGUGUGAAGGUUAAUACACAUUUAGGACUGUUAUGUCUUGGAGAAUGGACUUCUUUUUCCCUUGUAAUGCUCCACUUUAUCCCUCACAAUAUUGUUCUGAAGUCUAAUCUGUUUGAAAUAAAUAUGGUGACCUCAAAAAAAAACCUGUCGAUAGGAACAAAUGGAAAAUAGAAAAACAGAGAUAAAACAUACUAACAUGAGGGUAGAAAUGAUAUGGCUCAGGCAUAGAAGGAGGAGUAAGACUGAAAAGGGGUGUACUAUUAGGUAAGCAAAUGUUCCCUUCAGUGUGAGUUCACUAAUAAAACCAUCAUGACAUGUAACAAAUAGUCACAAAACCUCAGUGACAUAUAAUGAGUAGUUACUACUUGUGCAAAUGGGAUGAUCAGGCAGUUCCACUGAUCUUGCCUAGGCUCACUCACAAGUUAUCUGGAGAUAGCUGACUGUCAGGUGAUACAGAAUGACCUUGGCUGCCUCAGCUGGGGCAACUUGGAUUGCACUAAUGUCCCUUAUUUUCCAGCAGGCCAGACUAAUGUUUUCUUUUCCUGGCAUUGAGAGAAGGAAAGGGCAAAGAAACUUAAUUAUACAAGCAUUUUACAAGACUCUCCAGAAGAAAUGGGAAGCCAGAACCAGAGAAGAUCAUGAUAGUAUACAUUAUUCUACACAACCUGAGGCCUUGUAGAAAACUCGGUGAGGACCCUGGAGGAGAGACUGAGCCAAUCUUAGCUUGACGUUAAAGGCAGAGAAACCUCAGCUAACACCUACCAUAUUAGUUUUUUGAUGGUGAAUUACCAUGAAUUCAAAAACUUAAAACAACACAAAUAUAUUAUCUCACAGUUCUAUAGAUCAGAAGUCUGUGUUGGCUCUGCUUGUUUCGCUGUUCUAGUUUCAUUAAGGUCAAAACCAAAGUGUUGGCUAGCUGGUUCCAGGCUGCUCUAGGAAAAAUUAUGUUCCAUGUUUAUUCAGACUAUUAACAGAAUCCAGUUCCUUAUGAUUUUAGGAUUGAGGUUCUGUGUCCUUGCUGUCUAUCAACUAAGGGUCACUGUCAGUGUCUAGAGGCCAUGCAUAUUCCUUUCAAGGCUCACUUCACCUUGAAAAUAAGCUAUUCAGGCCAUGUCAUUCUCAUUAUUUGACUCUCUCUGACGUAACCCUCUGGUUCAUCACUUCUACCUCCAGCCAGAGAAAGUUCUCUGCUGGGCCACCUGGAUAAUCCAGGAUAAUCUCCUUAUUUUAAAUUCCUAAUUCUAAUUACAUCUGAAAAUCUCUUUUGCCAUGAAAUAUAUUCACAAAUCCAAAAGAUUAGGAUAUGAGUAUUUUGGAGGUUCUGGUCAUCUACCCACACUACGGAUCACAACCAAACCUCUCCAUGAAUAGCCUACCACAAAUUUGAUAAUCAUAAGCCCGAGAUUGCCCCCAAUUUUGUGCAUAUUUUCAAUCCCCAUCUUGUGUAUGAUAUAGUAUGUGUUUUCAUUUGGGUUUAAAAAAAUAUAAUGGGUAUAACUGGUAAGCAUCUGUUUACUUCAUGAUCACCCUUUCUCCUCACUACCAGAUAAAAAGAAUACCUAGAGCAAAGAAUAACCAGUAACUUAAUUACCUCAAAGCAUUUCAUGUUCAAAUAGAGCUAGUUACCAUCCCCACCACUAGCCCCAGAUUCUCAGACAAUUCUAAUCUAUCUAUUGGUCUUAAAUAUGUCCAACUGUUAUGUACCCCCCAAAUUUCUUAUGCUGAAGCCCUAAUUCACAGUACCUCAGAAUGUGGCCUUAUUUAAAAAUAAGGUCACUCUAUAUGUAAUUAGUUAAGAUGAGAUCAUACUGGAUUAGGGACUAUCUACUUCAAUAUAGUAGAGUAACUCCCUAUUCCAAUAUGACUGGUAUACUUACAAAAAGGGGAAAUUUGGACAGAUACACACACACAGGAAAGAACAUCAUGUGACGAUGAGGGCAGAGAUCUAUCAACAAAGGAAUGCCAAAUAUUGCCAACAAACCACCAGAAGCUAGAGAGAGGCAUGGAACUGAUCCACCCACACAGCCCUCAGGCGAAACCAACCCUGCCAACCCUCUUGGUCUUUUAGAGACAAUAAAUUCUGUUGUUAAGACACCUGUACUUUAUAUUCAGAGCCCUGGCAAACGAGUACACUAAUUAAUGUGGAUAAACCUCUGGUGAGAACCUGGGCAUAAUUACAAUGCUUUAAAAGAAACGCACAUUGAUUAUUUUUUAUUAUAAAUAGCAGCUUCUUAAAAAAUAUAUUACACAGGAAAGUUGUCGAUGAAAUAGAUGAAAAGUACUAUGCCAAGCUACAAGCAGAAAUAAAAUCAUAUUAAUGCCAAAUUAUUAGGAUUCUUGAUCUACAUUUGCUCAUACAGAAAUUAAGCCCUUCACUAACCCCUUCUCCUCCAUCUCAGAAUCUCCUAUACAUUUCUAAGAGUUUUGUUUGGGGUCUAACAUUUUCUUGUGACCACUCUGUUUGUGUCCCUCUUCUCCUCUGCCUUCUUCACCUACAUACCCCUCCAUUGCUUCUGCUCCCAGUAAAACCUGUGGGAACACAAUCAGAUAUGCUUAACGGUCCCACACCUAGUGGCCUCCUGAAUCUUAAGGUAACAACGCAACACUGGGCUUUGCAGCUGGGGGAGGAGGUAGAGGGAGGAUUGGGGAUGACCCUCUCACCAAAUCUAUGUUAGUGCCCUGUUGGGCUCUAAAGCAGCCCUACUUGUACCCAGUGUUUCACUGAGUCUUUCAUGACUAUAAUUCCUUCAGCCUUCACUGCUCUCUCCCCUGAAGCUCAAAAUCUACCCUAAUGGCUAGGAGAGGAGAAACUCAAUCUCAUUUCCUACACUGGAAUCAUGUACUCGCCAUCUGACUUCUACAAAACACUUGCCUCCUUCUACUCCCAAAAUAAGAGAUUAACAAUUUCCAUAUAGAGAGCCCAAAGGGAUCAUCAGUCUACCAAUUCCACAAGCAACUUCACUCUAUUUUCCCUUCUAGGUUCAGCGACUCCUUAAUAAAAGAAGUUUAGCAAAGUCAGAGAGGGAGUACUUACUGAGAGGAGAGAUAGAAAAGGAAACUAAAAAGAGAAGGUAUGAUUUUAAUGGGAAACAGAAACAGAGGGAUUUAAAUGAAUGGAGAGAGAGAAAGCAUUCCAGGCCACCAGUAAAGAGAAAAUGGAGACAUGAACUUGGCUGAACAAAGGUAAAAGUAAGAUUCAUUUCACCCGGUCAUGGUGAUUCUUUGUAGGUAUUGAGGAGAAGAAAUCAUCUUUAACUCAACCCAGAGAAAUCUUUUACUGUCUCCUACUCUCACAAAGAAUGUCUACAUUCUUGCUUAUGAUUAAAAUACAUUCCCUUCCCAUUCUCUUAAAAUAGGAAUUCCUUUUAAAAAAAUUUUAAAUGACUCACGCUGGCUUUGUUUACAAUGAAUUAAAUUUCAUUUGCUUCACUUCAGCAAAGUGCUUUACUUUGCCACACUUUUGUUUUCUGUUGAGUUUCCAUACUCUCCCUCAAGUAAACUUGUUUUUCUCUUUUUUCCCAUCAGCACCACCAUAGGCUCCAAAUGGCUCUUUCCAACUCUAUGAAAAUAUAUGAGAAAUAGAUACAUUCCCUCUAUUAACUCUACCUAGUAACCUCAACCUUAUUAACUGGAGGUCUCAGUAGCAGUAGGGCAAAGGAAGUCACCUGCUAUUAACAUUCAAUGCAGAUGGACCGUAUCUGAGAAAAAAGUAUGUACUUUCCUACAUCUCAGAUACCUGGUAUAAUUGAGGGUAAAAACCCAAGGAUUUAGGCCACUGUGAAUUCAGACCUAGCUUCCACCCUCAGGCCUCUAUGCGAUCAUGACAGCCACCAUACAGGUUCUGGUUUAUGCCUCUGACAAGAACGUGUGUGUGUGUGUGUGUGUGUGUGUGUGUGUGUGUGUGUGGGUGGGUAUGUUCCAGAAAGGGUUUAUGUACUGCCUCUAAGAGAGGUUACACAGAUACCAAUCCUUAGCGACUAUUUUAUGUGACUCAUUUUAUGGCUGUGGUUUGGUCUCAGAAGAACAUGUUUUAGUGAACAAAAUUUGCUCAGGACUUAAAUUGCUCUAAUCAUUUAAUGUAUUCAAGAAUUCUUGCUCCAAGAAAGGGAAAGGUUACUUGCUUGUUAAGAAAACAAGCAUUACAAUAGGCUGACAAAACCCAACUGGAAUUAGUUAUGAAAGGUCAUCUAAACAGACAAAUGUUUUUAUGGAGCUUUUUAAAAUGCAAAAUGUCUAUAGAUAGUAAAACAAUCCUGGUGGUGAUACAGCAGCAUUGCAAAGUCUCGUUUUAAGAGUCUGUUUAAUGUAAAAGAGAUUAAGUUAACUCAUGCUGAAAAGGUGAUUAAAUACACACUAAUCUAUUACUGAAAACUUACCAACUAAGGACUUCAAUCUGUUACAUUUCAAUCUUGAUUUUUUUGCAGUCACUGAAAUACACAUGGAUUGCAAAGUAGGUAUGGUAAUGUGUGACUGUCACAGUUGUUAGGGUACAGCUGAAUCUUGUUUAAAACUUUCGGUAGAGUUUUUCUUUCUUUCCUUGUUUUUACAGUAAGUGCUACUUGGAACCAAAUGACACUUAUCCUUGGGAAGUGUUAACAUUUUGUUGUUGCUGUUAUUGCUAUGACUUCUGUAAGUAAUUCAAGUAAAGCUAUAAAAUGUUGGCAG
rnacentral:lncRNA from 1 species